UUUAGGACAUGUUCUUGCUUGAAUAAAGAUGCUUCUUGUUGAAUAUCAACUUCUGUUUUGACUUUUUGCUUUGCCCUUGACCCUAGUCUCGGACUAGUGGUUUGUACUCACUUUUUGAGCUUUGCAUUUCAGGUUCAAGCUUCUAGUCUUAAUGGUUGAUGUUGAUCUCAUGACUUGAGAUGCAAAUUACUUUGUACACUAACCUUGGUUGUGUUGUAGGGUCAUU
rnacentral:lncRNA from 1 species